UACAGAGGUGGCAAGCGUUGUUCGGAAUUAUUGGGCGUAAAGAGCUCGUAGGCGGUCUGUCGCGUCGGUCGUGAAAACUUGGGGCUUAACCCUGAGCUUGCGGUCGAUACGGGCAUGACUGGAGUUCGGUAGGGGAGACUGGAAUUCUUGGUGUAGCGGUGAAAUGCGUAGAUAUCGAGAGGAACACCUGCGGCGAAGGCGGGUUGCUGGGCCGACACUGACGCUGAGGCGCGAAAGCUAGGGGGAGCAAAUAGG
rnacentral:rRNA from 1 species